CUUAAUCUUCUUUUCUAGUGGAGAAUAGGAACCUACUGCAAUCUGAGGGUCUUGAGUAUUUUUAGCCCAGGCCAAU
ensembl:misc_RNA